GGCCUUGACAUGCAGAGAACUUUCCAGAGAUGGAUUGGUGCCGUUCGGGAACUCUGACACGAGGUGCUGCAGGGGGUGCUGUCGUCAGCUCGUGUCGUGAGAUGUUGGGUUAAGUCCCGUAACGAGCGCAACCCUUGUCCUUAGUUACCAGCACGUUAUGGUGGGCACUCUAAGGAGACUGCCGGUGACAAACCGGAGGAAGGUGGGGAUGACGUCAAGUCAUCAUGGCCCUUACGGCCUGGGCUACACACGUGCUACAAUGGUCGGUACAAAGGGUUGCCAAGCCGCGAGGUGGAGCUAAUCCCAUAAAACCGAUCGUAGUCCGGAUCGCAGUCUGCAACUCGACUGCGUGAAGUCGGAAUCGCUAGUAAUCGUGAAUCAGAAUGUCACGGUGAAUACGUUCCCGGGCCUU
rnacentral:rRNA from 1 species